rnacentral:rRNA from 1 species
UCAAAGCCUGGAAUAACCUGCCGAAAGGCUGGCUAAUACCAGAUAAGCCUACAGACUCUUCGGAGUUCGAAGGAAAAGGUGGCCUCUGUAUACAAGCUAUCACUUUGAGAUGAGCCCGCGGCCCAUCAGCUAGUUGGCGGGGUAACUGCCCACCAAGGCAACGACGGGUAGCUGGUCUGAGAGGACGAUCAGCCACACUGGAACUGAGACACGGUCCAG